GCACUUUUGACAGGGCCGCGAUGGACGGCGCUGCCUUCUGCUCCCUUACAAGCACCGCAGCUGCCGGUUGCACGUGCACACUCGGUGUACGUAUAACAAAGACGCCCCGUGCGCCCGGGGGCGCAAUCCCACCGGAGCAGGAAAAUAAAAAAUGAAGGCCCGAAGGUGGAACAAGCUAUAAAGGACUUUAUCUUGGGAAACACAGACAGAGACUGAAUUAACACUACAGUUUCUUUGGAACAUUACAUCUCCAGCUUCCGGGAGAGGGAAAAAAAGGCAAGGGAACAGAUGGAACCCAAGAUAACUAAUACGUUGCUCCAUUCUAGCCUAUCAGCAAGCCUGUACGUUGAGUGGAGUCAGUGGCUGGUCGGUCCCACAGAUGAGUGGGGAACAAGAACUGGGAUAUUUGGCAUCCCACUCCGGCACGCUAAUCACUACAACAUAUUGGCUGUCACAAGAAUUCAUAAGGCCGUGCUGUUUCUUUACAAUCAUGUUUGUUUUCAUGAGGGGUAGUGGUGUGCUCUGCCUGUCUCUCCCUUAGCAGAUCCUAUGUCUUAGGGUGAAUAGAAUAGAUUCUAUUUUUUAUUUUUCUUAGGGUGUUGUCCAAUACUUCCCUCAUUGGAAAUUAUUUGGUAAGAUUUCCUACUUCACAUCUUGAAUAAAAUGGGCGUUUGAAGCAUUCUCUUCUGUUAUAUUGGUUGUAGUCAUAAUGCCGCUCAACUUUUCCCCCAAGGCACAGGCCACUUUGGUGCUUGUCAGGGUGAGAGAUAAUAGUGUAAUUAUUGUUGAAGAACUGUAUCCCUAAUGUCUGCUCAGCUAAUGAGAUCUAUAGAGCGUCACCUUUAAUGGACCAGUUCCCUUUGCAGGGGUUUGUCUGUGUUGCUGGGAGAGUCCAUGCCCUGCAUGUGAGGUCAUUUGGCACAAAAGAACUUGAAAUGAUGUGCGUGUAAUUUAAAACAGGAGAUGAACUAUGAAA